rnacentral:tRNA from 1 species
GCUGAGGUGGAGGAAUUGGUAGACUCGCCAGCCUUAGGAGCUGGUGCCUUUAAAAGCGUGCGGGUUCGAGUCCCGCCCUCAGCACAA